CCCACUGUGCCCACUGACCUCUGUCCUCAGGUGCCUGAUCUCCAGGUUCUGGAACACCUCCAGGGAUGAUGACUCCCAUCACAAUGAUCACCCACCAUCAGCUGGACAGAGAGUUGGGUGAACAAGCCAGAAGUGCUUAGAAACUCCUGAGUAUCCUGCCUGAGACCCAAGUGAUGUUUUCCAAAUAAUGUCCCUGGGGGAAGACACAGCAGUUUCAGAUGCUGCUGUAAUGUAGAAGAAGAGAGGCAGAGCUCGGGAGACCUGACAGGAGUGAUACCCCUUUAUCCUAUGACCACAUCUACUGUGGGACCUCCUCAACUGCCAUCUUCUUGAUUUGAAGCCUUUUCUUCAAGACAGAGACCCAAAGAAGUGCCACACGCACAGCACCUGGAGCAGCCAAAGAGUUAAAUCACUUCCCAUCGCCGUUUACAUGGGAUACAGAAACAACUUUUCCUGCUGCAUCUGUAGCUGCCAGCAGAACUCAGUGACAGCUUUAUAAAUCACACCUGAAGCAAAUAAAAAUGCCAUGUCCAGAAUGAGCC
ensembl:lncRNA